CAAGAGUGAACUAUUUUAUUGUAUUUAUUUUCUAAACGGUGUUAAUGCUGUGACGUCAUCAACGGGUGCCAUACUUUUACUCCUCAGUUUGCUCAGAGCGUGACGAGGGGAUACAUGUGUUAUGUAUGCUCUGGUCUUUUGAAUUGCCAUGUUCACAAAUGCACAAGAAAAGACAAGCAAAGGUUAUAUCGUUCUGAUUAGUGUUGCAUUACUGUUUAUAGGAAUAUAUAUUAAUGUGAAUGGGGAUAAUGUUCGAGUGCAACGUUGCAAGGCUAGCCCAGCUACGGUUUGCCUUGUUGCGGGAGAGGGUAUCUUUCAGGUGCAGACAUCUCAUUCAAAGAGAGACAACCGGCAUAAUUGUGUCCAGAGCCUUGUCUUCCACCUAUACCUUACCAGAACACAACGCAGAAAGCACCGUCCACAGUUCCACUGCUUCCACGAGGGAACCAACCAAAACCCCUUCAGAUUUCUGCUUACUUCACUUCAAGGUAUUUUGAAGGAGGGUGUUCCCCUAUCUUACCCACAGAUGUUCACACUUCAAGGUGCUAUAUCUUGUCUAAAAUCUCUAAAACUGGAAACACUUAUCUCCCUCACUAUCUUUAAGCACCUGCUGUCAGAGCAGCUCACAUAUCUCUGCACCUGUACAUAGCCCAUCUAUAAUUUAGCCCAAACAACUACCUCUUCCCCUACUGUAUUUAUUUUUUUAUUUUGCUCCUUUGCACCCCAUUAUUUCUAUUUCUACUUUGCACCUUCUUCCACUGCAAAUCUACCAUUCCAGUGUUUUACUUGCUAUAUUGUAUUUACUUCGCCACCAUGGCCUUUUUUGCCUUUACCUCCCUUAUCUCACCUCAUUUGCUCACUUUGUAUAUAGACUUAUUUUUCUACUAUAUUAUUGAAUUAUUGACUGUAUGUUUGUUUUACUCCAUGUGUAACUCUGUGUUGUUGUAUGUGUCCAACUGCUUGCUUUAUCUUGGCCAGGUCGCAGUUGUAAAUGAGAACUUAUUCUCAACUUGCCUACCUGGUUAAAUAAAUAAAAAAGAAAUAAAAAAUGUGAAAAUGUUCCUGUCCUGCUAAGCAUUCAAAAUGUAAGGAUUACUGGGUGUCUGGGAAAAUGUACUGAGU
rnacentral:lncRNA from 1 species